rnacentral:rRNA from 1 species
GACGAACGCUGGCGGCGUGCCUAAUACAUGCAAGUCGAGCGGACUGAAUGGGAGCUUGCUCUUGUUCGGUCAGCGGCGGACGGGUGAGUAACACGUGGGCAACCUGCCCGCAAGACCGGGAUAACUCCGGGAAACCGGAGCUAAUACCGGAUAACACCGAAGACCGCAUGGUCUUUGGUUGAAAGGCGGCGCAAGCUGCCACUUGCGGCUGGGCCCGCGGCGCAUUAGCUAGUUGGUGAGGUAACGGCGCACCAAGGCGACGAUGCGUAGCCGGCCUGAGAGGGGGACCGGCCAAGCUGGGACGGAGACACGGCCCAGACUCCUAGGGGAGGCAGCAGUAGGGAAUCUUCAGGAAUGGGCGAAAGCCUGACGGAGGGACGCCGGGUGAGCGAAGAAGGCCGCCGGGUCGUAAAGGUCUGUUGUGAGGGACGAAGGAGCGCCGUUUGAAGAAGGCGGCGCGGUGACGGUACCUGAAGAGGAAGCCCCGGCUAACUACGUG